UACGUAGGGUGCGAGCGUUAAUCGGAAUUACUGGGCGUAAGGCGUGCGCAGGCGGUCCGCAAAGUCUGAUGUGAAAGCCCCGGGCUCAACCUGGGAACUGCAUUGGAAACUAACGGGCUCGAGUGUGGCAGAGGGGGGUGGAAUUCCACGUGUAGCAGUGAAAUGCGUAGAGAUGUGGAGGAACACCGAUGGCGAAGGCAGCCCCCUGGGCUAACACUGACGCUCAGGCACGAAAGCGUGGGGAGCAAACAGG
rnacentral:rRNA from 1 species